GUACACUCCUACGGGAGGCAGCAGUGGGGAAUAUUGGACAAUGGGCGCAAGCCUGAUCCAGCCAUGCCGCGUGAGUGAUGAAGGCCCUAGGGUUGUAAAGCUCUUUCACCGGUGAAGAUAAUGACGGUAACCGGAGAAGAAGCCCCGGCUAACUUCGUGCCAGCAGCCGCGGUAAUACGAAGGGGGCUAGCGUUGUUCGGAUUUACUGGGCGUAAAGCGCACGUAGGCGGACUAUUAAGUCAGGGGUGAAAUCCCGGGGCUCAACCCCGGAACUGCCUUUGAUACUGGUAGUCUUGAGUUCGAGAGAGGUGAGUGGAAUUCCGAGUGUAGAGGUGAAAUUCGUAGAUAUUCGGAGGAACACCAGUGGCGAAGGCGGCUCACUGGCUCGAUACUGACGCUGAGGUGCGAAAGCGUGGGGAGCAAACAGGAUUAGAAACCCCUGUAGUCCCAUG
rnacentral:rRNA from 1 species